GUGGAGAUGCAAUGUUACUCAGAGAGAUCAAGUGAAGAGCUCAGUCACAUACACUGUCAAGAGUUCAGCACUAACUUCUACACAAGUCGCAGUGAUCUCUGUGUCUGCCGCUGCAUUCGCUGUUGUCCUUCUUGCUGUCCUCUGGCUGAUCUGGAGAAAAAGAG